UACGUAGGGGGGCAAGCGUUGUCCGGAAUCAUUGGGCGUAAAAGCGCGUGUAGGCGGCUCGGUAAGUCCGCUCUGAAAGUCCAGGGCUCAACCCUGGGAUGCGGGUAGAUACUGCCGGGCUCGAGUCCGGAAGAGGCGAGUGGAAUUCCCCGGUGUAGCGGUGAAAUGCGCAGAUAUCGGGAGGAACACCAAUGGCGAAGGCAGCUCGCUGGGACGUGACUGACGCUGAGACGCGAAAGCGUGGGGAGCAAACAGG
rnacentral:rRNA from 1 species